rnacentral:rRNA from 1 species
UUUCCGAAUGGGGCAACCCGGCAUGCUGAAGGCAUGCCAUACCGCAUAGCGGUAGGCGAACGCGCUGAACUGAAACAUCUAAGUAGGCGUAGGAGGAGAAAACAAGAGUGAUUCCGCAAGUAGUGGCGAGCGAACGCGGAGAAGCCCAAACCGUCCAUGUUACGGCAUGGUCGGGGUUGUAGGACUGUGUUGUGGUUACAUCUUCGUAAAGUGGAACCGGCUGGGAAGCCGGGCGGUAUCGGGUGACAGCCCCGUACACGUAAGCAACGAUGGCCUAACAGUAUCCUGAGUAGCGCGGGACCGGAGAAAUCCUGCGUGAAUCCGGCGGCACCAUCCGCCAAGGCUAAAUACUCCUGGGAGACCGAUAGUGUACCAGUACCGUGAGGGAAAGGUGAAAAGAACCCCGAACAGGGGAGUGAAACAGAACCUGAAACCGUGUGCCUACGAUCGGUCGGAGCGGAUUUUUUCCGUGACGGCGUGCCUUUUGCAUAAUGAGCCUACGAGUUGCUCCUGUCCGGCAAGGUUAACCCGUUCAGCGGGGUAGCCGGAGCGAAAGCGAGUCCUAAUAGGGCGCGGAGUCGGGCGGGGCAGACGCGAAACCUGGUGAUCUACCCUUGGGCAGGUUGAAGUUGCGGUAACACGCAAUGGAGGACCGAACCGAUAAACGUUGAAAAGUUUCCGGAUGACCUGAGGGUAGGGGUGAAAGGCCAAUCAAACCGGGAAAUAGCUCGUACUCCCCGAAAUGUUUUUAGGAACAGCGUCGUAAUAAAUUUAACGGAGGUAGAGCUACCGAUUGGGUGCGGGGGAGUCAAAUCCUACCAAAUCCAGACGAACUCCGAAUGCCGUUAAAUGUGUACGGCAGUGAGGCUCCGGGUGCUAAGGUCCGGGGCCGAGAGGGAAAGAACCCAGACCACCGGCUAAGGUCCCCAAAUACAGUCUAAGUUGAUCUAACGAGGUCCGGUUGCCCAGACAGCUAGGAUGUUGGCUUGGAAGCAGCCAUUCAUUUAAAGAGUGCGUAACAGCUCACUAGUCGAGCGGCCGGGCGUGGAUAAUAAACGGGCAUCAAGACUGUUACCGAAGCUGUGGACUGGUAGA